rnacentral:rRNA from 1 species
AACGAACGCUGGCGGCAUGCCUAACACAUGCAAGUCGAACGAAGGCUUCGGCCUUAGUGGCGCACGGGUGCGUAACGCGUGGGAAUCUGCCCUUUGGUUCGGAAUAACAGCUGGAAACGGCUGCUAAUACCGGAUGAUGACGAAAGUCCAAAGAUUUAUCGCCAGAGGAUGAGCCCGCGUUGGAUUAGGUAGUUGGUGGGGUAAAGGCCUACCAAGCCGACGAUCCAUAGCUGGUCUGAGAGGAUGGUCAGCCACACUGGGACUGAGACACGGCCCAGACUCCUACGGGAGGCAGCAGUGGGGAAUAGUGGACAAUGGGGGCAAGCCUGAUCCAGCAAUGCCGCGUGAGUGAUGAAGGCCCUAGGGUUGUAAAGCUCUUUUACCCGGGAAGAUAAUGACGGUACCGGGAGAAUAAGCCCCGGCUAACUCCGUG